rnacentral:lncRNA from 1 species
AAACCGACCGUCCCUAGCUCAAGUGGCGAAAAAAGUUGGUGCUUGGUACCCAGGGUGCCAAGUUCGAAUCUUCGAGUCUUAAUUGAUUUACAUUUUCAGCUAAAUUUAAUUCUAAAUAAAAUAAUGAAGCGGCCGGGUAGCAUGCUAUUUAUCUUUAAAAAAUAAUAAUAAUAUUUGGUGCAACAUCAACUAAACCUAAGUUGGCUAAGAUCGAUGAGAACUCUUAGCUUCAUUUGGUUCGGGUAUAAGCAAGAACUGAUUAUACCGGGGAUAGGCACAAGUAUGGGUUUUCGUAGGAACAAGAAUAUUUUUUUGUUUGGAUGAAAAUGUGAGUAUAAGCUGGAACUAGAAAAAUUGUAUUUGGAUGAAAAUAUGAGUAUAAGAUGGAAUAGUUGGUAAUUAUAAAUAGAAAAUAAUGAAAUUAAAUUUUUAUUUUCAAAAUUUUAAUUUUAAAUAUCAAAAUUUAAAUUUAAGAUCAAAUUUAAAUUUGAAAGAUAUAAAAUAUCAAAUUUAAAAUUUAAAAACUAAAAAUUUAAAAUUUAAAAUUUUAAAUUUUAAAUAUAAUUUUAAAUUUAAAUUUUAAAAUUAUAAAUUUUAAAAAUUUAAAUUUAAAUUUAAAAUAAAAAUCUUUCUCUCUCCGGUGGGGAGUGGGAACAACUUGUUCCCACCCCUUGUUUCGUACUUGGGUGGAAACUAGUUAUUCCCACCCAACCUGGUACAAGGGUUGUACUAGGUUGGUGGGAACAACUAGCUCCCACCCCACCCUGAAGUGUUUGGGUACAAGAGGUAUCCAAGAGGGGGGAUAACCCCCCCCCCUGUACCCAAUUCAAACACUAACUUACGUUCGAUCCAACGCAAAACUCGAAGCUAUGGCCAAGUUUAAACUGUGAGAGUAGUUCAUAAAAUUUAAGCUAGCAAUAUAAUGAAAAAUAAUGCUUAGCUAUAUAUGUUGCAAGUACCAAAUAGGUGUUUAAAAAUCACUGAGUUUUCGCUAUAUUUUUGAGUAUUUAAUUAACAAUUGGCCUUUGACACUUCGAAUUGCAACUUCUAAGCAAGGUUAACUCAUAUGAGUCAUGAAUGUAUGACAACACUACAAACUCAAACUCGACCCAAGUUGAACUUAAGUUCGACUUGACCAUGCUAAGGAUACUAAUUUGUACUGACGUGAAGGGAGAGAGAGAGCGCCCACUACUGCGAGAAAGUUUACUAUGUCGCACUUACGCCACAUCACUAAUAACUAGUUAAUCAUAUUUCUCUGUUUGAGAGAAAAAAUAACAAUUAAAAUAUUUUUCUAAUAACAAUAAUGGGAUGAGUGAACCAAAAAAAAAAAUCUAAUUAAUUAAAAAUGCCGUAUCAGCAAUGUAAUUGCUAAAUUCUAGAUUUUUUUUUUUUCACAGGGAUGCUGUAAAAGCUGGGGGCUUGGGCGGUCUACAGAUGACGUGGAAAAUCGGGUCCACAUACAAAAGUUGACCUCUCCCCGACCAAACUGUGGGGCCCGCGGAGACUCGGCAUUAUCUUUCGGAAUCUUUAACGGAUAAUGUCGUUUACCGGUGGGCGGAACCGGAAAUUAGGAUCCGCUGGACACGUGGCGCCACGUGGAUCGUCUACUCCGCCGAAUCCACCAAAUUGGCGGGACCCACCCACUCGGACGGUNAGCAAGAACUGAUUAUACCGGGGAUAGGUACAAGUAUGGGUUUUCAUAGGAACAAGAGUAUUUUUUUUGUUUAGAUGAAAAUGUGAGUAUAAGCUGGAACUAGAAAAAUUAUAUUUGGAUAAAAAUAUGAGUAUAAGGUGGAAUAGUUGGUAGUUAUAAAUAGAAAAUAAUGAUAUUAAAUUUUUAUUUUCAAAAUUUUAAUUUUAAAUAUCAAAUUUUAAAUUUAAGAUCAAAUUUAAAUUUGAAAGAUAUGAAAUAUCAAAUUUAAAAAUUUAAAAUUUAAAAUUUAAAAUUUAAAAAUAUCAAAUUUAAAUAUAAUUUUAAAUUUAAAAUUUAAAAUUAUAAAUUUUUAAAUUUUAAAUUUAAAUUUAAAAUAA